rnacentral:rRNA from 1 species
CAGCAGCCGCGGUAAUACGUAGGUGGCAAAUGUUGUCCGGAAUCAUUGGGCGUAAAGGGUCCGUAGGUGGCUUGAAAAGUCUUAUGUGAAAUCUCUUGGCUCAACCAAGAAACGCCAUAAGAAACUUUCAUGCUAGAGAUCAUCAGAGGGAGGUAGAAUUCCAGGUGUAGUGGUGAAAUGCGUAGAUAUCUGGAGGAAUACCAAUGGCGAAAGCAGCCUCCUGGGGUGAAUCUGACAUUGAGGGACGAAAGCGUGGGUAGCAAACCGGAUUAGAUACCCGGGUAGUCCAUGCCGUAAACGAUGAAUACUGGGUCUUCGGGGAAUCGACCCCCUGUGGACCGAAGCUAACGCGUUAAGUAUUCCGCCUGGGGAGUACGGUCGCAAGACUAAAACUCAAAGGAAUUGACGGGGGCCCGCACAAGCAGCGGAGCGUGUGGUUUAAUUCGAUGGUAAACGAAGAACCUUACCUAGGUUUGACAUAUAAGUAGUACUGACCCGAAAGGUGAUGGACCCGCAAGGGAGCUUAUACAGGUGCUGCAUGGUUGUCGUCAGCUCGUGCCGUGAGGUGUUGGGUUAAGUCCCGCAACGAGCGCAACCCUCGUGGAUAGUUGUUUUCUUUAUCCAGACUGCUUUUACAAGAGGAAGGUGGGGAUGACGUCAAAUCAUCAUGGCUCUUACACCUAGGGCUACACACACGCUACAAUGGACAGUACAGACGGUUGCUAAGUCGCAAGAUGGAGCCAAUCCGAUAAA